rnacentral:rRNA from 1 species
UUACACGGAAUCCCUCGGGAGGAAGUGUGAAUGACUGAGUGGCGGACGGGUGAGUAACGCGUGGGCAACCUGCCCCGUACCGGGGGAUAACAGCCGGAAACGGCUGCUAAUACCGCAUAUGCUUUGCGGGCCGCAUGGCCCGCAAAGCAAAACUCCGGUGGUACGGGAUGGGCCCGCGUCUGAUUAGCUGGUUGGCGGGGUAACGGCCCACCAAGGCGACGAUCAGUAGCCGGCCUGAGAGGGCGGCCGGCCACAUUGGGACUGAGACACGGCCCAGACUCCUGCGGGAGGCAGCAGUGGGGAAUAUUGCACAAUGGGGGAAACCCUGAUGCAGCGACGCCGCGUGGGCGAGGAAGUACCUCGGUAUGUAAAGCCCUAUCAGCAGGGAAGAAACAGGACAGUACCUGACUAAGAAGCCCCGGCUAGCUACGUGCCAGCAGCCGCGGUAAUACGUAGGGGGCAAGCGUUAUCCGGAUUCACUGGGCGUAAAGGGAGCGCAGGCGGCAUGGCAAGUCUGAUGUGAAAACCCGGGGCCCAACCCCGGGAGUGCAUUGGAAACUGCCAGGCUGGAGUGUCGGAGGGGUAAGCGGAAUUCCUAGUGUAGCGGUGAAAUGCGUAGAUAUUAGGAGGAACACCAGUGGCGAAGGCGGCUUACUGGACGACUACUGACGCUGAGGCUCGAAAGCGUGGGGAGCAAACAGGAUUAGAUACCCUGGUAGUCCACGCCGUAAACGAUGAAUACCAGGUGUCGGCGGGCACGGCCCGCCGGUGCCGCAGCAAACGCAGUAAGUAUUCCGCCUGGGGAGUACGUUCGCAAGAAUGAAACUC